AUUCAGCUGACGAGUCCCUAAUAAGACGAAACGCAUAUCCUGAAU
rfam:Schistosoma curassoni strain Dakar, Senegal genome assembly, scaffold: SCTD_contig0000214